GAUGAACGCUGGCGGCGUGCCUAAUACAUGCAAGUCGAGCGAACAGACGAGGAGCUUGCUCCUCUGACGUUAGCGGCGGACGGGUGAGUAACACGUGGAUAACCUACCUAUAAGACUGGGAUAACUUCGGGAAACCGGAGCUACUACCGGAUAAUAUAUUGAACCGCAUGGUUCAAUAGAGAAAGACGGUUUUGCUGUCACUUAUAGAUGGAUCCGCGCCGCAUUAGCUAGUUGGUAAGGUAACGGCUUACCAAGGCAACGAUGCGUAGCCGACCUGAGAGGGUGAUCGGCCACACUGGAACUGAGACACGGUCCAGACUCCUACGGGAGGCAGCAGUAGGGAAUCUUCCGCAAUGGGCGAAAGCUUGACGGAGCAACGCCGCGUGAGUGAUGAAGGUCUUCGGAUCGUAAAACUCUGUUAUUAGGGAAGAACAAAUGUGUAAGUAACUAUGCACGUCUUGACGGUACCUAAUCAGAAAGCCACGGCUAACUACGUG
rnacentral:rRNA from 1 species